UUUUUUUUUUUUAUAUUUUUUUUUUACCUCUCUAAGAGAACGGUUAUCAAAGUUUAAAAUGUUAUGACAAAAGAUAAUAUACAAAGUUGGUCAGAACUUGAGAGUGAUCCAGGUUUAUUUUCUCUACUUUUGGAGGAUAUUGGUGUGAAAGGUGUUGAAGUGGAAGAAGUAUAUGAUUUAAAUGAUACUUUUAAUGAAGACUUGAUCUUUGGAUUUAUAUUCUUGUUCAAAUGGGUUGACGAUAACAGGCGGUAUAAUUAUUCCAGAAGGAAAUAUAGUCAAGAUCAAUCUCAGAAAUCUAUUGAUAUUGGAACCAAUAAACUAAAAAUAUAUUUAUCUCAUUAUUUAAAUGAUUCAAAUUUAAUAAAUAAAAUGUUUUUUGCUAAACAAGUUGUGCCAAACUCUUGUGCCACACAUGCUUUAUUGAGCGUUAUAUUAAAUAGACAUGAUAUUGAUAUAGGUGAAAAUUUGUCUAAUUUUAAACAAUACACACAUCUAUACACACCAGAAAAUAAGGGACAUGCCAUAGCAAACAUGAAAGUGCUAGCCAAUUCUCAUAAUAAAUUUGCAAGGAAUGAAUGUGACAAAAAGGAUCCACCUCUUAAGCAGCAAAAAGAAUCACAAAGUAGCAAUGCAGAAAAAAGAUGUAUGAAUGACAUUUUGACUAAUCAUAUUGAUGGCCAUAAUAAAAUGACAAACUCUUCAAUGGGUAAAAUUGAAGCCUCUAAAGAAACUAUUGAUAAUGCCGACAAAAUGAGGGCUCCAUCAUCUCACAUUAAAGCCAAUGACCUUCCCAUUAACAAAAUCAUUGAAGAAACGAUUAAGGGCAGUAAUGAACUCACUUUAACUAAAGAGUUUAUCCAAAAAACUACAAUAUUAUCCAACGAGAUUGCUUCAAAUCAUAACAACCCUGAUUGCAAAAGUGCCACUAAAAAUACCGAGUCUCAGGAGAAAGCCAUUAAAAACAACUUAUUGAACGAAAAUUGCAUGACAGAAAGUUACAAUAAAUCUGCAUCUCCCAAGAACAACAACGAUUGUUUUCAUUACGUUAGCUUCGUACCGAUAGAUGGUGAACUCUUUGAACUGGACGGUUUGAAGCCGUUCCCUAUAAAUCACGGUAGUUGGUCGGAAACGGAAAAUUGGACCGAUAAAUUCAAGGACAUCAUUGUAGAGCGGAUAAACGUGCGAAGAGACUCGAAUAACGAUGUCAACGAAUCAUCCAAUCCUGUCAAGGAUAACCAAGAGACGUUAAAUAAUUCUCGCGAAAUUAGGUACAACCUCAUGGCAGUGUGCGUGGAUAAGCGUAUGGUUAUAAGGAAGAAGUUGUUAGCUAGGAAGUCUCAGUUAUUUACCUCCUUGGAGUUUAUACCGGAAGCUCUCAAAAAGGUUGAUAUCGGGUGUUACAAGAAAUUUCUGAACAUAGAAAACGAUCCUACUCAUAUCAUGCCCAUAAAUAUGCACGAAAAUGUUAAAGAAAUCGAGAAGCCGAAAUUAUUGGGAGAUAUGUUAGUGACCUUACCCGAUAGGGUGAAAAAGAAAUUUGUGCACCAUGUCAAAAAAUUUAAAUCUUUGCAUAGUUUGACGCCUAACGAGCUUGUAUCGCACGAUGCCGUAACUCCCGAUUUUAAAGAUUUCAUAACCUUUUUAUACCAUUUACAAGACGAGAUAAAUGAAUGUCACGAAAAACUGAGCAAGGAAAACGAAAAAUGGGCUAGAUAUAAGGUGGAAGACGCUAGAAGAACACACGAUUACACUCCAUUUAUUAACGCCUUUUUAAAAGCCCUGUCUGAACAUAAAAUUUUGGGCGAAUUAAUCGAAAAUAAUAUGACGAGUUACAGAAGUGAAAAUACUAUAUAUAAAAAUAUACUCACUGCCCGGCAUCACUCUUUGCGAGAUCCAUUUUUUGUCAUGUAAUCCGUUAUUCAUUUUUAUCCACGUUUGAGUCUUCCUCGAGCCCAUUUUAAUAACAUCCAAAUAUUAUGCCAGAAGAAUCGUCACCCGAAAAGGCAAAGGCUCCAAAAAAUGAUUAUUAU